rnacentral:rRNA from 1 species
AUGUUUGGUCUUACUGUGGGUUCCUUUCAAGCACUUCACGAGCAUUCUUUCAAAUCUCAUUGUGAAGUGUUUGGGGGAACUCUUGGUGAUGCCAAGCUUUAUUCAAUGCCAGUCAAGAACCAGAGGAGACGAUCAUCACAAACCAUGUUUGGUCUUACCGUGGGUUCCUUGCAAACACUUCAUGAGCAUUCUUUCAAAUGCCAUUGUGAAGUGUUUGGGGGAACGACUCUUGGUGAUGCCAAGAUUUACUCAAUGCAGUCAAGAACCAAAGGAGACGAUCAUCACAAAGCAAGUUUGGUCUUACCGUGGGUUCCUCGCAAGCACUUCACGAGGCAGUAUUACAAAUGCCACUGUGAGUGUUUGGGGGAACUCUUGGUGAUGCCAAGCUUUACUCAUUGUCGAUCACGAACCAGGAGAUAUGAUCAAUAUAAAGAAAGUUUUGUCUUAUCAUGGGAUCCUUGUAAGCACUUGACAAGGCAUUAUUCGAAAGACCACCGUGAAGUGUUUCGGGGAACUCUUGGUAUCACGAAGCAAUUGAUGGAUGUUGUUUCAACUGAACCAACACGAUUUUGCUUUGAAACCAUGUUUAGGGAAGGGGUGGGAGAAUAUCAUUUUGUAGCAUCCGUGCACACCUCCUUGAUGAAAUGCACCGGUUCGGGUUUGCAAGAGGGGACGGAAGUGUUCUAA